GAGAUUUGCUGCCGGGAAGGUUUUUCCUUAUCCGGAGAUAGAUAAGCGCUCGUGUAUCGGGAGUAAAGGAUUUAAUAGUAACGCGAGAGAGUCGGUGAUGGUGGCGGUUGUCAGUCGUCCGAGCGAUUGCGUAGUUGCGAGCGCAUGGCCAAACGUAGUAAGAAUUCAACGAGGGAGUUGAGAAGCCGGUUAAUUAUUCGUCGACGAUUCGAGUGAGCGAUCAGUUUCGUACGAGAAUAUGUUAAGUUGCGUGAAAAAUGUGAGUGUCUCAAGAGUUUUCACGUCGCGUUACUAUUGCGAGAGGAAAAGUUGACUCGGCGAUCGGAGUUCGCACGGUGGCAUUGAAAUUCCGUUCCAAUCUCCUCGAUAACGAAGAAUCCAAGUAAAAAAUGAAGUUUCCGUGUUGUCAGAGCAUCUACUAUCGUCGUAAAAGCAUCGAGAUCACCGGAGCCUCGAGGUCCGAAAAUUCGCAGCAAAUUUAUCGACGCUUGUCGAAUCCCCGGAGGAAAGAUGCGGUAAUCGGGGAAGGGGACGUUCCCAGCGUCCCCAAGGAGGCGCUCUCCAAUCACGAGAAAGACGAGGCCACUCGAAGUCGAAUCAAAGAUGCCAUUACCAGCAACCAGUUCUUGAGCAAUCUUCACAUCUCACAAAUCGAAGCUAUGAUCUCGGCCAUGUAUCCACAGGAAAUUCCACCGAAGACGAGGCUCAUCCGCGAAGGCGACAUCGGUCAGCAUCUUUACGUUUCGGAGGAAGGAAAAUUCGACGUUUACGAGGGUGCGGAGAAACAGGGGAGUUUUGGAGGGGGUGUCGCGUUCGGUGAGCUCGCGCUUCUGUACAACGUCAAAAGGCUGUGCUCGAUUGAGGUUGAAAACGGUGGCAAAGUUUGGGUUUUGGAUCGAAGGUCUUUUUUGGCUGGGAUGAAAAUAAUAAUAGAGGACAAAUUGUCACACAAUAUAAAGCUGCUGAGACGGAUAUCCGCGUUGAAGGAUUUGCCGGAGCACGUGCUCGCCAAAAUAUCGGAUUUGAUAUACAUCGAAUUUUUUCCAGCCAACUCUUACAUUCUCCGGCAGGGCGAGCCCGGCGAUAAAUUUUACAUAAUAAACGGCGGACAGGUCAGAAUAACUAAAACGACGGAGGAGGGUGGGGAGACGGAGCUCGCGGUGCUGGGGAAGGGGGAAUACUUUGGGGAGAAAGCUCUCUACGACGAGGAGGAAAAUCUGCGUCAAGCGAACGCGAUCGCGAUGCCACCGGCUUGCGAGUGUUUCGCAAUAGAUCGAAACUCCUUCCUCAACUAUCUCGGUAGCCUCGAGUCGAUUAAGAACAAAGAUUGGAUGGCCGAGUACGAGAUCCGAAAGCGGUCCCUGGAGCUCGAGUGGAGCAGCGACUACCCGGAGAUAAAGCUGGAGGAUUUGGUCGUCGAGAGCACCAUCGGGAAGGGCAGCUACGGGCGAGUCGAGCUCGUCACCACGAGAAAAUAUCCGGGCAAAAGUUUCGCCCGAAAAAAAAUAAAAAAAGCUAUGAUUACGUCGAUUCGCUAUCAGAAACAUAUUUAUAACGAGAAAACGAUAAUGCAGGCAUGCUACAAGUCAGAUUUUAUAUGCAAACUGUACGGGACCUUCAGGGACAGCAAAUACGUUUAUUUCGUGAUGGAAGCCUGUCUCGGUGGGGAUUUGAGAACGGCGUUGCACAGAAUCGGAAGAUUCGAUAAUCACACUGCGAAAUUCGUGUCCGCCUGCAUUCUCGAGGCACUGGACUACUUGCACUCGAAAGACAUCGUUUGCAGGGACCUCAAACCCGACAACGUUUUGAUCGAUGAAAAAGGCUACGUCAAACUGACUGAUUUCGGCUCAAGCAAGAGAAUCGGUCCGUACAAAACGACGAGUUUUGCCGGAACUCCCGAAUACAUGGCUCCGGAGAUAAUAUUGACGGAGAAUCACGACAGAGCAGCUGAUUACUGGUCGUUUGGAAUCGUGAUUCACGAACUGAUAGCGGGACGACCACCGUUUUAUGACGAGGACAAUUUGAAGCUGUACAACAAAAUAGUUAAUGGUUUGGAGGACCGAACGUUUCCUGAGUACUUUAAAAACUCGGCGGCGAAUAUCAUCCGACGAUUGCUGAAAGUCAAGCCGACCGAACGCUUGGGAUACCUUCGCGAUGGAAUCGACGGAAUUUACAAUCACAAGUAGUGGUUCAAAUCUUUCGAUUGGAAAUCCCUGAGAAAUUUGUCACGGACGUCGCCACUGAAGCCAAAGGUUAUGAAUCACUUGGAU
rnacentral:misc_RNA from 1 species